rnacentral:rRNA from 1 species
AUUGAACGCUGGCGGCAGGCUUAACACAUGCAAGUCGAGCGAGACGCGGACGGGUGACUAAUGUAUGUGGAUCUGCGCGAGAGAUGAGGAUAACUACUGGAAACUGUUGCUAAUACCGCAUACUAUCGGAUAGACCCGUUUGGGAUUAGCUAGUAGGUGGGGUAAAGGCUCACCUAGGCGACUAUCUCUAGCUGGUCUGAGAGGAUGAUCAGUCACACUGGAACUGAGACACGGUCCAGACUCCUACGGGAGGCAGCAGUGGGGAAUAUUGCACAAUGGGCGAAAGCCUGAUGCAGCCAUGCCGCGUGUAUGAAGAAGGUCUUAGGGUUGUAAAGUACUUUCGGCAGGGAAGCGUUACCCACACAGAAAGCACCGGCUAACUCCGUGCCAGCAGCCGCGGUAAUUC